rnacentral:rRNA from 1 species
AGUGAACGCUGGCGGCAGGCCUAACACAUGCAAGUCGAACGGCAGCACAGAGGAGCUUGCUCCUUGGGUGGCGAGUGGCGGACGGGUGAGGAAUACAUCGGAAUCUGCCUAUUUGUGGGGGAUAACGUAGGGAAACUUACGCUAAUACCGCAUACGACCUACGGGUGAAAGCGGAGGACCUUCGGGCUUCGCGCAGAUAGAUGAGCCGAUGUCGGAUUAGCUAGUUGGCGGGGUAAAGGCCCACCAAGGCGACGAUCCGUAGCUGGUCUGAGAGGAUGAUCAGCCACACUGGAACUGAGACACGGUCCAGACUCCUACGGGAGGCAGCAGUGGGGAAUAUUGGACAAUGGGCGCAAGCCUGAUCCAGCCAUGCCGCGUGGGUGAAGAAGGCCUUCGGGUUGUAAAGCCCUUUUGUUGGGAAAGAAAAGCAGCCGGUUAAUACCCGGUUGUUCUGACGGUACCCAAAGAAUAAGCACCGGCUAACUUCGUGCCAGCAGCCGCGGUAA